rnacentral:lncRNA from 1 species
UGGUAGUUUAUAAAGAGUUAGAAAAACUCGUCACAGUAGGUAGAGUUGUCCAUUAGAGAAACCGCAAUGAGAGAAAAAUAAGGACCUUUCUGAGAUAUUGCAGAUUUCUAACAAGUGUCAUUUGGUCAAAGCCACACUUCAAACAAGUUAAGUUGAGCAGGGGGAGUAAAAAGGGCAAGAAUGUCUACACUAUUGUGGCGAAGUAUAGAUAUUCUAAUUAUCAACUGAUAUUGGUUUAUAAAAGUCUAUGUCCCCCACUAGAAGGGGAAGCCAGGAACUGUAUCAUGAAUCUUUUAUCCCUAUGGCCUGGCACAAAGAAGGAAUUAAAUGUUUACUGAAUGGAAGUAUUAUAAUUGUUUCACUUUCUACCUUAAAAUAUUCAGUUCAUAAGUGCUUAAGUCCUGGGGAGGGGAGGCAGUAUGGAAAUUUUAAUCCGGAGUUCCGUCGUGGCGCAGUGGUUAACGAAUCCGACUAGGAACCAUGAGGUUGUGGGUUCGGUCCCUGCCCUUGCUCAGUGGGUUAAGGAUCCGGUGUUGCCGUGAGUUGUGGUGGAUGGAAACCACAUCCUCAUGGAUGAUAGUUGGGCUCGUUCCCCGCUGAGCCACAACAGGAACUUACUGUCUCUUAAUUUUUCUAAUAACUCACUUUUAUUGUUUUUCAAAGUAUCACUACAUAAUGAAUCGGAAAAAAAUUUUAAAGCUGAUAUUUUACCACAGGUAAUGUUAUGUGAUCAAAUUUUACAUAUCCUCCUUUUCUUUCUUUCUUUAUUUUUGGCUGCACCCAGGGCACACAGCAUGGAAGUUCCUGGGCCCAGGAUCAAACAGCAACCCAAGCCACUGCAGUGACUAAUACCAGAACCCACUGAGCCACACAGGAACUCCUAUAUAUCCUUUUAAAGUCAAAAAGAAAUGCCACCAACUCCUCAAAGCCCUCCAUGAUCCAGACAGGCAGAAGCAAACUUCCCCUGACUUUCUCUAAUACUUUAAAAGCAGCCUCUGGUAGGAUGGAUAGGAUUUUCUACAAACUGAGAUCCUGGAAUACAAGAAUAACUUGUUCAUUUGCCAUCCCUAUAAAGCACACAAAACAGGCAUCAAAUUUGAUGAAUGAAUGAUGUAAGAGGCAGCAUUCCACGUGCAUCAAUUCACUCAAGAGAUCAGAAAACCCUCCGAAAUUAUACCCAAAAUUGUGUGUGUGUGCACUUUCCUCAGGAGAAGAUCUUUAAUGCUUACUAGAUUCUCAAAGGAGUUUAAGCACCCCCAAAAUGUUAAAGAAACCACUGAUAAGGAAGGAAAAGGCUUAGAUUUCAUCAGCAGACAGAUGUAUUUCUUCCAGCCAGCUCCAUCAGGGUUAGCUUGGGGAAAUUACCUGACAUAAUACAAACCUCAAUUUCCGUAUCUCAUAAAGAUUCGAUGUAAGAACUGAAUGUAAUCCUAUAUGGAAAACCCGAGGAUCACGAAGAAGUGUUUGUGACAGCCAAUGAUUUGAAUUUCCUUUCUGCCCUUCAAGU